rnacentral:sRNA from 1 species
AAAAAUGUUGUCUUGUCACAUUCAGCCUACAGUGUGAUUUGUGAAGUGGCAGGUCAAGCAAGCAAAUCUUCAGACUUCAGAGUAUACAGAGAAUUUUAGAAGUUCAGAGACUUCAGAAUUCAUCAUCAGGUGCACAUGUCUUGGGUUGGGCCUAGCUGUGAUGGGCUUUGCAAUGGAAGCCCAUAACUAUUACAAGUGAGGCCCAACGAUCACCCAAGAAAUGUAGGGUUAAUUGGAUCCUAGCUAUCAAAGAGAGAGAUAAGGAGUGAUUUCUGAAUUCUGACAGUGUGAACAUUCCUUUUGGACUGUCAAAAUUGGCUGCUAAAUGGCUGACAUUAGGAUAGAUCUUAGGAAACCAAACCUGACAUGUUGAUGCUGCUUAAUCUAUGCAAAAAGUUUUGGUUUGGUCUUUGUG